UACAGAGGGUGCAAGCGUUAAUCGGAAUUACUGGGCGUAAAGCGCGCGUAGGUGGUUCGUUAAGUUGGAUGUGAAAUCCCCGGGCUCAACCUGGGAACUGCAUCCAAAACUGGCGAGCUAGAGUAUGGUAGAGGGUGGUGGAAUUUCCUGUGUAGCGGUGAAAUGCGUAGAUAUAGGAAGGAACACCAGUGGCGAAGGCGACCACCUGGACUGAUACUGACACUGGAGGUGCGAAAGCGUGGGAGCAAACAGG
rnacentral:rRNA from 1 species